rnacentral:lncRNA from 1 species
AUGAAGGAGGGAUCCGUUCCCCGUUUUCCUGAAAAUCGGGGCGUCUCAUUUUCCAGAGCUGGGAGACGAGGCAGAUACGGGGGCCAAAGUGCUGACAGAUCUUCACCUGCAGCAGCAUCUGACAGCAAGAGGGACAGGGGCGCCGGCAGUACCCAAGCCCCCCGAGACCUGGACGGACCACAUGGAGCCCAUCAGCAUCAUCAUCCUGAUCUACCUCUUCUUAGUGGUGGUCCUGAUCCUUUCCUCGGGUUACAUCGGCCUGCGCAUCGUCCAGUUGGAAGAGCAGCUGACGUCGAUGGGGGCCUGGCCAGAUUUACACCUCCAGCCUCGGUGGGUUUUAACUUCAUUUCCCUUUUUAAAAAAAUCUUUUCGGUUUCUCUUUUUCUCGAAUUCCGGUGCCGUGGGAUGGGCUGGGGAAAAAACCCGGGGACUGAUGACACGAAUAAACUGUACACAAGGGUACGGAUCCCAAAAUUUCCAAGUUCCAAAAUUUUGGAAUUUCCAAAAUGCCAUCACAAAAAGCACCCACCACUUCAUAUCUGUCUUUCCCACUUUUUAAAAAAACUUAUUCUCUUUUCUCAAGUAAGGUCUAGAAACUUGAUUGCCCCCCUUUAA